UCUCCACACCCUCUCUAGCAUUUAUCAUCUGUGAACUUUUGUAUGAUGGCUAUUCUGACUGGUGUGAGGUGAUGAGUAUAUAAAUGUUUAAAAACAUUUCAGGUGAAAUUUAAAUGCCUAAGAACCUCAUCAUAUGGCUUUUUUUCUUUCUGCUAUUAGUUUUGUCAAGUGUAAUUCUCCUUCAUUAAAUUCUGAAGAUCUGAAUGUGAUGAAGAUACGAGAAUUGUUAAUAGUCAAGCUUUCCUAGUAACACUUUAUUUCUCGUGUAGUUUUCACACUGCCAGUUUUAUUGUGUUCAUUGUUUCUACCGCUGAUGUCCGUGAUUGACCUAACAAAAGGCUGAUGGUAGUCAUAUUUUCUGAGCUGAAUCGUGAGGAGAUGGCCAGUAGUGUUUUCAGGUGGAGAGCCUGAGGAAAGGGGCAGAAGGGAGAGAGGGUGGAGUGGGGGGUGGGGAAGGUGAGAAUGUGGGGCUGGGGAAGGAUACGGUAGAAGCAGAAACAGAAGUGAAGAGACACAAGAGGAAAAGCUCAGGCUCCUGGACUGUGUUUAGCCAUGUCUUUAUGCACAUGUGUAAUAUAAGGGUCAUCGGUUACUCACAGCAACACUGUGAGGUAAGCGUUUUUCAUGUUAUCAUCCCUUUUUACAGAUGACAAGGCUGAGACACGUAGAGGUUUACAGGUGAAGGAACUUACCCAGAGUCACCCAGCCAGCAAGGGCUGAGUCAGAUUGGUACCCAGGCCAGAGAGAAACAGAGACAUGGUGUCCGGCACCAAACUCUGGAACACACUGCAGCGUCCGGUGUCCCCUGGAUCAAAAGGCAGGUGACUGUGUCCAGCAGCGUGAAUCAGAUCACACUGGGUCUCUUUAUGGAUUGAAGGUGACGUCUGUUCAGUGCAUGAAAGACUGGGGUGUCAUCUCCAUAUGCACACGUCACAGAGGACAGUUCCCCGUAGGUGUGAAGGUCUAUCCUUAUCUUUGCUCCUGCUGAUGUCAGUCAACAUCCUCAUCCUUAUGGAAAGUAGCGUAUCCAUAGUAUAAUGAUAAACGGAGCAGUAGAUACAACAUUAUGAAGGCAUUACCUCCCCACCCACCUCAUCGUUUUUAAAAAUGCAUAGAAAGAAACCUGGAAGACAAGAGACCACAUAUUAAGUGUUUUUCUCUUAAAUGUGAAGUUCUAGGAAAUUUCCAAACAACAUUUAUUAUUCACUUUUUAUUUUCUGUACUUCAUUAUUCCAUAGCCAAUUUUUCUAUUCUAAUUUUAAAAUAGUCCUUCUGAAGACCCAUUCUCUUAGGUAUCUUGACGUUUCAGGAUUUAAUAAAAAAAAUGUUUUUAUAUCUUUGCCAGGUGAAAAACCAGACAGCGCAUUGAAAGCAGGAGAAUGAUCUUUUGUACAGUAGGUGGGGAGCGGCGGGGAGGGGAGCAGAGAGGUCCUGAUAGAAGGUUAGAUAAGUCUGCAAGUGUAAACGAGGCCACACAGGAUAGAGGCCAAACCCAAAUCACAACUAGCACUUCCCUACAGAGAGAGUGGUGUUCUAUCCGCAUAAGUAUCCGUAUUAGGACUUCUUAGGCCUUCGCUCUUUUUUGGCUCCCGUGGCUCGAUGGGGCCACACGCAAUACUUACAAGGAAGUCCUGCUUUGAGCCAGGCUGUGGAUGAGGGUCGCACCCUCCCCUGCAGCACCGCCCCAUUUGUGGGCCAUCCGGAGCACUUUUCUUGAUGUCUGGGAGCCUGCAGAUUCAGAAGGGAAGAGAGGAAGAAGAUACACAGUGCGGUAGGUAGGUCCAGCCCUCCCCCAGUAAAUCCAUACGCAGAGAGUGAGAUGCAGGUGCAGUCAUCAGUUGGGAAGGAGCAGAGCUGGAUUGGGUGACUCAAGGAGGAAACGUGGAAGUGAAUGCAAAGGGGAGAAAACACGUUAAGAGGGGUGAACGGCUACAGUUCCCAUUUCUAGUACGAGGAUAGGGUGCUCCAUUAUUGUUGGGAGAGGGCUCCCUGCUCUGAGCGCUGGCAGGGCCUCACUGCACUUGGUGAUGAGCGUUCUGAGGACCCGCCAUCAGCCCUAACUAGGGGGUGCUGAGCAUGUGAAGCCAGGAAGGAGUCAGCCUUUACCACCGACAGACACAGAGAGCUUCUUAGGCCUGCUGAAGGUACUGCUGUGGCACCUCAGGGAAGCUCAAAGGUGCCCUGUAGCAAAACCACCAGUGCUUCCUCAGCCUCCUGAACCAGCUCAGGAAGGCUGCCCAGACACUACAUACUGAUCUGGAUGUGCCUGGUGGUAGCGGUGUGUGUGUGUGUGUGUGUGUGUGUGUGUGUGUGAGUGAAAUGAAUAUGAUCUCUCUGUUUAAUGGUUCACCAAGCUCCACCUGUGGUCAGGGCACUAUGCUGGGUGUCUGGGGGAUACGAAAAAAAGAAAAAGACACAUCACUGCCUUCAUGGAGUUUAUGUGAAAUCGUGAGACAAUAGUGAAUCUAACAGUCACACAAAUAAACGUGAAAACUGCUGCUGUGAUUGGUGAGAGCAGAGAGGCCCACCCCAGGGCUUCGGAGGAAAUGACCUUAGCCAGAUCUUUAGGGAAGUCUUCCCUGAAGAGACAUGACUUGAGUUGAAAUGUGAAUGAUGCCCAGGAGUUAACUAAUCAAGAGGCUUCAGGAAGAGGGGACAGUCUAAGUGAAGUUUGGAAAAUUGGAGGGUGUGAAAGAAGCCCAAUAAGAGAGACAAGAGGAAGCUCUGCUUUCCAUAUGGCUAAAGAGGUGGGCAGGGGCUAGACCACGCCUCGACGUCCUUGUGUAGGAGUGUAGUCUUCGUGUAAAGUCAGGGACAGCUCUGCAACAGGAAGAGAGGGAGGGGAGAGGGAGACAGAGACCGGCACACUGAGCGGAUGUGAGAGGCCACUUAGAAGGGAGGUUUCACAAUCAGAAGCAGGGAGGCUUUGGACUAGAGCUGAUGGGGUGGGCACAGGAAAAAGUGGAAACAUCAAGUAUUUGGGAAGUAAAAUGGGCAGAACUCAGCAAGGAUUUGGACUUGAGGUGAAGGAGAGGGAGUUGCAAAAAUGGUUAUGACUAAGUUUCUGUGUUUACUCAUAGGAGUACGAUGGAGUUGUCCAUUGACAUGGGAAAUACCAGCAGACGGCCCAGUCUGCAAAGAAUUCCGAAAUAAGACGUAUUUAUGAGAUCACGCUGUAGGUGGAUACGAUGUUCCUGGCAGCAUGAAUCAACAAUCAAAGAGUGCAAGCAGCCCAAACGCCAACCAGCUAAUGAAUACAGUUUGAAAUACAGUGGUAUAUCCGUAUAAUAGAAUAUUAUUCAGCCAUCAAAAAGAACAGAGGACUGAUACAUGCUACGACAUGGAUCAAUCUUGAACACAUGAAGCAAAGUGAAAGAAGGCAGACACACAAGGCCGCCUAGUGCAAGAUUCUGUUUUUAUGACAUGUCCAGAGUAGGCAUCUCCAUAAAGACGAAAGCAGGUUAGUGAGUGCCAGGGGCCGGUGGGAGGGGACGUUGCGGAGAGACUGCUCACGUUCUGCGAUUAUGCAUUGGGGUUGGUUGCACAGCAUGGUGAAUAUGGUAAAAAACCAUUCAAAGGGUGAGUGUGCUACAUGCAUGACAGUUGAAUAAAAAAAUUUUUUAAAGAAAGGGAUGUACCUUGGGAUAUAUUUUGGGCCAUUUUGGGAAAUAGAGUCAGCCACACCAGAAGGAGUAAUAAGCACUCCAGAUCUUGCCUCCAUCAGUUUGAUCACCAGAUGCGACCACUGGAGUCAGUUUAGGUGUUUCCCUCUAUUCCGUGUUUUCUGCAUGGAAAAACAUCACGUAGACACACGCACCCAGACGCUGGUGAGUAGGAGUACUUCUCGCUUCUCAUUUAGAAACUUCUCUGGCCAGUCAAAGUGGUUCCCCUCAUUGUCUUUCACAGCUAGUGGUGCUCCGUGGUAUAAUAUGAACACUUCAUCUCUCACUUACCCUUCCACUGGUCAAUGCCUAUUACUGGACAUUUAGCACUCCCCCCACCCCCAGAAAUUUGCUGCUGUCACUGUACACACAGCUCUCUGCAGGUGUGAAUAUUUCUUUAAGACACUAUAGCAGUGGAACUGCUGGUCCAAACAAUCCUUUGGCUAAACAGACAUCUCUCGAGUCCCGACUGGGUGCCUCACACUAUUCUAAAUGUGGAGGGACAUUGCAGAAUACGACUGACACGUGUCCCUCUUUUCAUGAAGCUGAGAGUGGGUGCAGGAUGGAAUUUAAAUUUUGAUGGAUGCUGCCACAGAGCCGUGCGAAGGUGUUUUCCGGACUCACACUUGCCUCAGUGGGGCAGGGGAAUGAAUGUCCCUUUGCUGGCACCCAGUGCCAUUCGUGUGGUGACGGCUCUAGGCAGGUGGCUGGACUCCAAAGAGCUUCGGGUCUGCAGCUGGAAUGAUGGGCAUGUGAGGAAGUGAGCUUCUCGGCGGCCACACCCUCAGUUGUGAGAUGACAAAGUUUCUUUGACACAGGAUGGCAGGUGUCUGACCCUUUGGUGGCUCUGCCUACCGAGUGUGUCAUCUCUGACCUGGCUGUAAGUCUGUGUGCCAGGGAUUGAGGCUGCUGGAGCUUUGGGAGUUUAUGGUGUCUCAGGCUGUGAACGUUGGGCUUGGUGGGAUUUGGGGUACCACAGUCUGAGGUCUCUUCGAUGCUGGCUGCACGUAACGUUGUGAGCGCGCUCUCCACCUCCACGGCACCAGUGCUCUGAGCUGUUUGUGUGUGUCUGUGCCCGGGAGUGUGAGCUCUGUGAUUGUGUGGCUUCUGUGUCCAGGCUGUGAGGCCUGGGAGCUAUUGGGUUUCUGCAUUGCAGGCUAUGAAGUUGCUAAAAUGCAUGUAGACCUGUCAUGUCUGAGCUGAUUUUGUGUCUCUGGCCUCAUCGAUCGAGCCCGUAGGAGUUUCAGUUCACUGGAUUGUUUGGUGGUGUGUGUCCAAUGCAGUGAGGUCCCCUCUCUGCUGUUUUGUGGGUCUGUAACUGAGCUUAGCAUGUCAUUGAUGUCUCUGGGGUUUUGUGACUCAUAGUGUGCAGUCCCUGGGGUAUUUGUGAGCCUGUAUUCAGAGUAUGAUGCUGCAGAGCUGGCGGGAGACUGGGGUCCCAGAGUGAGGUCUGCUCUGUCUUUGGUUCUAUGUUCCAGAGGUUGAAACCUCUGAGUCCCUGGGGCGUUUUAUGCCGAUUGAGAGACUGUCAUUUGCCAGAGUUCCGACAUGAGGUGUUGCGACCUCUUCCUGAUGUUUCAGUCCGACAGUUUUCCAGAAGGAAAGGGAGAGGUUGAUUGAUCUGAGUUGAGUUGACUGUGGACUCGUCCACUGCCACUCCCAUCAGGAGGACAUGGAACACACCUGGGGCAAGUCACCUGACUGUUGGGGAAAGGGAUGUAAAACUUCCCCUUGCUUUGCAAACAUAAAGAAAAGCCUGACAAGUGAAAGUAAGAGGAGAAGGAAGUACUGCAGCUGCUGAAACCGAAGCAUUUCACACUAGCACACCCAAAUUAAUCGAAAAUUGUGAACUUGUAAGUGUUUCACAAACAGCAAUAAUUUAUUUUUCAUUAGCCUGUCGAGAAUCAAAUUCAGGUCUAAAGUAAAGCCUCAACGUUGAAAAUGUCUAACUUCCUUUCAAGUUAGGCGUUUGAAAGUUGAAAUAAAGCCCGGUGACUCCUGAGUCCCAGAUCACGGAGCUGCCGGGCAGGAGGCGUGGUGGAGAUGGACGCGGGCCCAGUGUGAGGCCCUGUCCCAAGGGAGAGGAGACACGACCCGACCCGCACGGGACUCACAGCCUAGUGGGGGAGGCACCCCUGUUGCUGCAGGCAGCAAAUAUUCAUCGAGGGCUUUCUGCGUGCCAAGCACUGCUCCCCACGUGGGACCCAUGGCAACAGAAAUCCCCGCCCCGGACUUUACGGUCCCUGAAGGGGAAGGGGUAGGCGGCAGGCGUAAAGCCUCAUCAUAACAACUGAGGAAGUUGUACAGUGCCGUAGAAGGUGAUGGUGCUGUGGCCAGAAAACAAUGCAAACCCUGGGACGGGGCCUGGUAAUGUGAGGAGCUAGCGGGAGAGCUGCAGGUUAGACCGCUGACCAGAGCCACCAGGGUAGGCUUCAUGGGGGAGGUGACAUUUUGACAAAGACGUGAAGGGGAAAGGAGUGAGCAAAGCAGACAGCUGAGGUCAGGACGUUGCAGACAGAGGGGACAGUUGGGGAAAGUGCCACAGGCAGAGGCUGCCAGACAGUGCAGACUCCACCAGGAGGCCGGGCAGCUGAAGACAGGGAGUGAGAGGCAAACGGAAUGCGGGGAUGAGAUCCUGCAUCUGCUUGGUCGGCUGACCGGAAAGGACCACCAGGGGUCACAGAUGCUGAAGGACAGGCCUGUGCCAGGCUGCGGAGGGAGGCAGAGGAGGGACACGGGGAAGAGCAGGCGGCGUUGAGGCAGGGUAAGCGAGGAGCUCGGAGGGCAGCAGAGGGGCAGCUACGAGUGAGGCUGACGGCCUCACCUGGACGCCACAUGCCCUCCCUACGUGCAUUCACGGCCCCGUCUCCAUGGACACCUGUGCCCUGGGCACGGCAUCACACACCUCAGUAGCAGGCUGAGCUCAUUCAACAGUCCAUCGAUUGGACUCCGGCCACUUGGUACUUGGUAAAUGUUCGGUGUGCUGACUGGUGCUCCAGGUAUCUGGGCCCAAGGUGCACUGUGAGGCCAGAACUGCGGCUGAUGGGGCAACGGACUGACCCACAUGUGUGUGAUGAACGUUGCCGCCUCUUUUAUUAGGAGUUUCCGGAAUUAGGGACGGUAUGAAAGAUGCAGCCCUCCACCCCUCUGAGGGUAGAGAAUCUUACUCCCCAGAUGUCUUAUUUAUGCCGCUGUCCUCUGUCAUUUUUAACACAGAGAUAACUGGUCCAAGACGAGCAACCGUUUAUUGACCAAAUACCUAGGGUCAAGGUCCUUAGAUCAUUGAAGAACCAUGUUUUAAGCUCCACCCGGACACUACACCUCAGGUACUGUGGCCAGCCUGGGGAUGCAGGGAUGAUGUGGGCUGGAACCCGCAAGCAGCGGGACGCCACCUGCUGUGUGAGGAGAGCUAUGGCAGGAUUUAAGUCAUAGACCCUAGGAGCACAGCAGAGCGCAGGUGACUCCUCCCAAAGUGUGAAAAAGUUCACUCGCGGGGGAGGAAGUGUGGAGGUUUGGUCAGGACACCCUUCUCAGGGGUGGGGAGGUUCUUGAGGUAGGACGUUCGUCCGCAUCUUACAGGCACACAAGCUGCAGGACACAGACACGAAGACGGGUAGAGGCAGACUUCUGUUCCCAGUCUGUGGGGCUGCAGACCACCCGGCAGCUGGGUCAUGUCCAGAGUUCUCAUUGCAGCCCCAAAGCACUUCCUCUGCUCCUGCUCGCCUCUGGAUCCCUAAUAUCUGGGGAACAGACCGAGACUGGGGGCGACAUACCUAGGGGUCGGGGCUGAUUGCAAAAGCCUAUCCCGUAUGGCAAAGUGCCUCCUGCAGGGGAAGUUCCAGUCCUGCCUGGCUGUUGGCUCUGAGGCAAGGCUUUCCUGCCGGUGGUCUCUGGUUUUUGGCUUCAGGGCAGCUCCUCUGAAGGCAGAUACAGAUGGUCUUAGAACCUUUCAGGGUGGCUUUACCCUGCUGGGUGCCUGCAUUUCACAGGUGGACGUGGUAUUGGGACAGCGAUGACCCUCCCGUCCUGGAACAGUGUCUGCAUCUCGGCAACUGAAACACAAGCCAAGUGUGUUGUGACAGCAAAGAAGCCUGGCUGUGGAGUCAGGCAGAACCGAGGCAUGACUCCCAGAUCCACUCUUUACUGCACCAGCGACCUAACCUCUUUCAGCUUCUUCCCUUGUCCAUAGAAACUGGGCGCUGACACUUAACCUGCCUGGGAUUUGGGGAAAUGAAACCAUAUAUGCCCAGCUGACAUGAGCUCAAUACCUAGGCUCCAGGCAGAGCCGUUGACCCUGUGACCCGUGUUAGGGACACAGUAGUGCGGAGGGAGGGAAGCAUGCCAGGGGCCCUGGGAGUCCACUCCGCCCUCUGCCUGGGGUAGGCGGUGGGGUAGUGCUGGUGGAGCUGGUGCCGCUCCCAUCCUUUUUCUUGUCUUUACAGCCCAAAGGCACAGACUUCAUUUCAUAGUUGGAUGUGCUCUGCUCAGAGGAGUCGUAGUGAAUGAAGUGAAUCAUCACUGUUGAGUCUGUAGCAGGUACAGCCAGCUGUGGGUGCACUCUCUCCACUCGAUCUGAUAGGAGCUGGCCGUUUCCUCCAGGGGUUGACGGCCCCUGGCGGGGACAUCUAAGGAGUAGCCCGAAGGCACUUAGAGGGUCCCCCAUACUGAAGAGGCAGCUGAGCCUUGUCUCUUUGAUGACCACAGGGACCAGGACAUCACACCCCUUGCAGGGGAGGAGGAUACAGCUCAAAUGGUAGAGCAUGUGCUUAGCGUUGCACGAGGUCCUGAGUUCAAUCCCCAGUGCCUCCUCUAAAAAUAAAUAAACCUAAUUACCUCUCCCUGUCCAAAAACAGAAAAACAAAAAACCCUUGCAAAGGGACAAGCAUUUAAUAUAUUGUCCUAACAGAGUACUCAGACUAUCAGCUAUAGUGGAGAAUAAUGACAGUCCCAUGGGUAGGGCAGUUGAAGGCCUGUUCCAUUUACAGGGUCACAGACACCAUAAAGUUACAGACUUUUCCCCAGAUUUGGGCUGAUUCUCUCCUCACUGUGAAGCAGGUGGUCUCCCUGGAUCCCUUUAUGCAGUUUUUUUUUUAAAAACUGCAGCCCAGUUCCAAACUCCAUAUUCAGAUGCAACAGUGGGCCCACAUAAAAUGAGAGGAGAGCUUUGCUGUCUGUAUCUGCCUGUUCUUAGCAAGGAAGCCUUUCCCAGAAACACUCGGCCAUCAGAUUGCAUUUCAAACCAGCUCAUUGUGAACCGGAGUAGAACGCGUGUCCAUCUGGGAAACGAAUGAUGAAAUCUCCAUCACGUUCCGUUCGGUAAGAGUAUAAAUCUGUUAACUGUGACUUUUCCUCCACGGCCUCCCCAGGUAAAACGGACAUUCUCUACCUAACCGGACAGUGGAACCCAAGAAGGAACCACGCAGAUGAGGAGGAAGGAAGGGCAUGCCAGAUGGAGGGAAGACCACGUGCGAGGUAUCCCCAGAGCUGUAUUACUGCUGAAACCUAGGAGACUUUCCCUGACUGAAGUGGCUGAAGACAGGUACCUGUAUUGGACUCUGAACUUGUGAUCUCAUCAGAGAGCUUGGGAGCUCAAGUGACCGGCCAGGCUUUCCUCCCAGCUCGAGGGGAGGAGAUCAGUUGACCACAUAAGUGCAGACCGAUUUGUCAGAGCCCACAGCGUUAGCCGUCACCAACUGUAACCUCCGUACCGGCUGGGGUGACAUGCAACGAGCCGGUGACAUCGCUGUGUGUUCAGAGCUGGUGGCACCAAGUCUGGAGUAGGAGCCGGAAUCCAGUGAGGUCCAGAGACGUGCCCCGUGUCAAAUUCUAGGCCAGAGACCGAGCCACAGGCACCGAGAGACAAGAAAUAUUGGUAUGGAGUCAGCGUAAAGUACAAGGGCCAAAUAGCAAAUCUGAAUGUACCUGUAGCAAGAAAAGAGAUCCAAUCAUUCAACUCAAAACCUCCCCACAAAAGGAAGCCCUGGCUUUGUCGGUGAGCUCUGUCAAAUGGUUAAGGAAGAAACAAUACGCUUCCUCCACAGACUCUUCCAGACUAGAGGAGGGACCGUUUCCUAACUCGUCCUAGAACAACGUUACCCUGCUGCCAAUACCAGAAGUGACAUCACAAAGAAAGAACAGACCAGUAUUGGUCAUGGAUAGCGAGACAUAAAUCCUCAACGAAAGGUUAGCAAACCAAAUCCAGCAACAUUCACAAAGGGCUAUGCAAUAUAAUCAGUCGAGCUCUAUCCCAGGAUUGCAAUAUUGGUUUAACGUUCAACUUCCGUUAAGGUAACCACCACCUUGAUGUAAGAAAGGACGGAAACCACCUGUCAUCUAGAAAGACAACGAAGAAGCAUUGGACAAAAUUCAAGAGCUGCUGAUGAUAAAGAUGCUCAGCCAACUCGAGAUAGGAGGGAGCAGCCUCAUUCUGAUGAAGGUCACUCCCGGGAAAUAUCCAGCUCCCGUCACGUCAUAUUUCAGAGGGUGAGAAUGAAGGCUGUCCCCUGGGGCUCCAGACCAAGACAGGGAUGCCUGCUCCAGCCAUGGGUGUCCAGCACGGACUGAAAGUCCUAGGCUGUGCGUCAUGCAGGGCAAGAAAUGAAAUAUGGAGACACUGGAAAUGAAACCUGUGUCCACGCAAGUACCCGUACUUUGGUGUUCACGGCAGCAUUAUUCGUAAUCUCAGAAAAGUGGGAACGGUCUAAAAGUCUGUCAGCUGGUGACGGAUAAACAGGGGGUGCAAUACUCAUACGGCAGAAUGCCAGUGAUGGAUGGAACGGGACGGACUUCUGAUUUCUGCUAAGACAUGGGCGAGCCACGGAAGCAGUCUGAUGUGUAACAGGACCCAGGCAGAAGGCCCCCUUAGUACCUGAGUCAGUUUAUAUGAAAUGCCCAGAAAGGGCAGAUCUACAGACACAGACAUGAGAUUAGAGGACGCCUGGGCCUGUGGGUGCUAAUGGGGAUUGACAGCCGGUGGGAACAAGGAACCUUACUGGGGUGCUGGCAGCGUUCCAGAACUGGAUUGUGGUGACAGUUGCACAGCUGUGUAAAUUGACUAAAAGUCACUGCAUUGGCCCCAUUAUAUGGGCGAAUCUUCUGGUGUAUAAAUUAUACCUCAGUGAAGCAGUUUAGAAAAGAUAAUGCAAACGUCCUGGUAAGUCAUGCAGGGGAGGAGAUGCUGUUGCUGUUGUAACAUAAGGACCCACCCCGCCCCUCUAUUUCCAUGUCCUGGGGUCCUGCGUCCUCUAUGUGUCCAAGAUGCUCCCGCCAGACGGGGUCACUGUGCACGUAGAACAGAAUUGUGUGUCUGUGUGUCUUCACUCACAGGUGCCCUCUGUGCGAGCACAAUUCAGUGGCUCCGGACAGCCUCCUGUAAUCCACCCUGCGUCUCACAUCGUACUGAGGUGAUUUUCCAUUCUUCUCAGAUCCCAGGGCCCAGGCUUCUGUUUCCCUGGUAACUGAUCUCAGCCGUCAGCUCCAGUACCUGGUUGCAGAAAUACUUGUAGCGCGGGGAGAGGCUUGUUCCCCCUCGCCCCCGUCCACACACACGGCCCCCUGCGUGAGCUCAGCGACCAGGGAGGAUGCUCAGCAGAGCGGUAACCAAGACAACGGAACUCCAGCCUCCUUCUUCCCCCAGGACCGAGGCCCGUUCCCUCCCCUUCACCUGCCUGGCUGUGUGGUAAAAAAGGAGACUCGGGGGCAUUGACACCCUCCCGAGUCCCUGAAAUUGUCUAAAUAUGUCAAAAACGGCUCUGGAAUGAGAAGACACAAUGAAAUUUCAAACAUUUUCAUGACUAACAACUAUGGCUUGGAAGUCCAAGAUUCUCUUUAAAGGCAGGACGACGAAGCAGCAUGUGAUGAUGCUUCUCCACCUCAGCUGGGCCUCAGAUCUCCCCUGGGGACACCUUAGAAGAACAGGGGCUGGCGCGCCAUCCCCAGGGAGUCUGAAGGAGCAGGUCUGGAAUGUGGCCCAGACAUGAGCAUGAUUUGAAAACUUCCCUGAUGAAAGCCGGGAUUGCGGCUGUGGAAACAGAACCAUCCUUAUAGGAGGAAAUCUGAAAUCAGACUUCGAGGCUCCUGUUUAGAAGGAAAGCAAGUUUUCAUCGUGAUCCGCUGUGCUUGGCAGGUAUCUUGGGCUGAGGAAAGGGAGAACAUGUCCAGUAAAUGGGUGCCUUACACCUAACCCUGGACUUACUCUUCUCCACGUUCCUGAAAGCAAAAUUUUGCACUUAAAGCCCUGCAUUUGCUCAUCAAACUUAGUACUUUGAGUUCUUGUCAGGAUCCCUUGUGCUUCGUCACUUCAAAACAUUCGUAAAACGUGGUAGAGGUAACAGCACGGGACAGAGCAGACUGGUUCCUUUAAAAUGAAAGAUGAGCAAGAAUCUUACCGUUGCUGUAGAAGGAUCAGCUGUCGGCUCAUCUGCUGAGUGUGCUGAGUUGCAUUUCUUUACUUUUUGGUAUAAUUUAUGUCAUCGAAUUAACUCCCGUGCUCAGAUAAGGCCAAACAGCACCAGCAUAUUUCUUGGGAAAAAUAAAAUCGCGCAAUCCCUUGUUUCGUGCACACCCACGGACA